rnacentral:lncRNA from 13 species
AUGGUAAGUACUUUUACUGAGGCACUAGAUUUAUCUUCUAAGAAGAUAAGGUCAGCAGAACAAGGCACUUCAUGCUCUUCCUGUUCCAAGUGUCUAUUAAGACACUGCCUUGCCCUCUCUCAGCUCUGUCCUCUCUCAGUUCUGUCCUCUCAGCUCUGUCGUCUCUCAGUUCUGUUCUCUCUCAGUUCUGUUCUCUCUCAGUUCUGUCCUCUCUCAGUUCUGUUCUCUCUCAGUUCUGUCCUCUCGCAGUUCUGUUCUCUCAGUUCUGUUCUCUCUCAGUUCUGUCCUCUCUCAGUUCUGUCCUCUCUCAGUUCUGUCCUCCCUCAGUUCCGUUCUCUCUCAGUUCUGUUCUCCCUCAGUUCUGUUUUCUCUCAGUUCUGUCCUCCCUCAGUUCCGUUCUCUCUCAGUUCCGUUCUCUCAGUUGUGUUCUCUCAGUUCUGUCCUCUCUCAGUUCUGUCCUCCCUCAGUUCCGUUCUCUCAGUUCUGUCCUCCCUCAGUUCCGUUCUCUCAGUUCUGUCCUCCCUCAGUUCCGUUCUCUCAGUUCUGUCCUCUCUCAGUUCUGUCCUCCCUCAGUUCCGUUCUCUCAGUUCUGUCCUCUCUCAGUUCUGUCCUCCCUCAGUUCCGUUCUCUCAGUUCUGUCCUCCCUCAGUUCCGUUCUCUCUCAGUUCUGUCCUCCCUCAGUUCCGUUCUCUCUCAGUUCCGUUCUCUCAGUUCUGUCCUCUCUCAGUUCUGUCCUCUCUCAGUUCUGUUCUCUCAGUUCUGUUCUCUCAGUUGUGUUCUCUCAGUUGUGUUCUCUCUCAGUUCUGUUCUCUCUCAGUUCUGUUCUCUCUCAGUUCUGUUCUCUCUCAGUUCUGUUCUCUCUCAGUUCUGUUUUCUCUCAGUUCUGUUCUCUCUCAGUUCUGUUCUCCCUCAGUUCUGUUCUCUCAGUUUCGUUUUCUCUCCGUUCUAUUCUCUAAGGUCUUUUCUCUCUCAGUUCUGUUUUCUCUCAGUUCUGUCCUCUCUCAUCUCUUGGUUCUUCUUCCACCUCGCUCAGCCUGCUUUGCCCCUUUAUAGAAAGUAUUUUCC